ACCACCAGCAACAGUGAAGGGUGUAGCUCCUUCAGCACUGCCAGGUGUUAGAGCAGCCGGGGGCAGGUGUGAGCCUCCAAAGCACAGCAGAGGAGGUGAGGUUAUAUUGGGUGCAGACAGCUCCGCCAAGGAGACUUGCUGGUGAGGAUCUGUAUUCCAUAGAAAAUAUUCACUAACUGGUGUUUUUUCAAGUUUGUUCUCUCAUCCUUCUGUCCGCUGCUAAUGUUCUUUUUUUGAGCGGCCAUGGCCAGAGAGCUUCACAGAAAGAGCUCGGGCUCAGAAGAACUGACUUUGUCAACUAUUUACAGGUUGGCCUCACUGCACGUAUUUGUUGUACGCUCUGUACCCCGCGGGAAGGACUGGACAGCCAGCAGACAUCGUGAGAACUGAGGGGUAGCAUUUCUUGUGCAAACACUGAUCCAACUAGAACACUUCAAAAAUUUGAUCCAGGAGGAGAAAUGAUCACUGAGGCUGCUCUCCUUCAGGGUGUCUGUAACUCAGAAUAAUAGCUCUUGAGUUAUUAGCUGGUUUUGUUUGGCAUUCAUCUUCUGAACUUACUGCCAAAGGCAUAGAGGCAGAAGAAAGCAUAAUACCACAUCGAUAAAUACGUGUCAUUUCCCCUCCCCAGAAUUGUAUAAAAUGGAAAGGCAUAAUUGGAAUGUUAGUAAAUAUAAUGGAUCAGAAUUUGUUUAUUUAUUUUUUCCCAGAUUGAACCUUUGCAACAUCAGAUUUCAAACUGAAGUGAAUGACUUUCAUGUCUGAUUUAUAAAACUUUCACAUGAAGAAUGUACAGUGGAAACAAAAUAAAUGCUUAUUUGGC
rnacentral:lncRNA from 1 species